UUCGUAAAAUACGCAUGCGCAGUAUCAACUCCCUUCUCUUCGCGUAAGGUAUAAAUAGUGAUACGCUAGCGUAUUCGUAUUCUAUUCGUAGCCACCUGGCGAGGAUCGAACUUCGGCUUCAGUUUGUCAAGAGCAAAGCUAUUCGUAUUUCAAAUUUAUUCCGAUUCUUUUCAUUGAGCUUACGAAAAGUAAACAUUUAAAUAAUCUUGUUGUAAAUCAAUUGAUGCCUUUAGAUACUUGAUUGAAAACUUUGUGGCAAGAUUUUAACUGUAGAAGAAUAGAUAUUGUAUAAAUAUUGAAAGAUGCCAUUGCAAAAGUAUUAAAACUUCAAAAAAACUUAGAUUUACAAUAAAUUUAUAUAAGAAUUUUUAAAUAUUUUUUCUGAAGUAUUAUUCAAAGUAUUAUUCAAAGUAUUAUUUUAUUAUAUUAAAUUUAUACUUUUAAUAUUUCUUUUAAUAUUCUACUUUUAAUAUUUACUUCAUAAAAGCUAUUUUAUUUUUUUUGUUACUAUCCAAUGAACAAUGCUUGUUUCAAUUAAUUACUACUCUCACGAGUCCAACCGUUCAGCUAAAGCUUGUUCUCACGGUACUAAUCGUCAUUGAUGGUUCUGAUAACUCACGUCCUCACUGUCAGUUGUGGCACGUACAACCUGCAUUAUCUACUGGUAAGACAGCGCAUCAGGUCCAUGGGGAAGUCAUGUUCCAAAGGAUUUACGAGCAGAGAUCAGAACGAGGACGAUGACAGAGACCUUUCAAUCUAUCGAAUCUAUUUAUGUUCCUGAAACAAUUGUCUCACGAAAAUUCCAGUUUCGACAAUGAGUGAAGAAAACGACUCGUCUUCAAUCUAUUCUUCUUAUGAAUGAACACUUAUCAGGCCGCUUAUCUACAUGCAUAGUCCGUAAUCUUUUCCUUAUACAACUUCCCUCUGUGUACACAUACUUGAGCUCCACCUCUCGCAUUGUCUAGCUGCUCAUGUAACCGAUAUCCUCCAUUUCUCGCACGAAAGUAGUGCCACCAGUGGCGCUACAGCAAAAUAUACAUCUGUCCCUGUGUUAAAUGGUUUUCCCUCCACAUGCGUAUAAACGCAUACUCUGGUGAAUGCACGAAUUCGAAGGUUUCUGGACAAAGGGUGAGCAGAGAAGGGAGGUGUUACGCUUCGUCUGGUCCUCCGUGAGAUUGCACACCGUGACCAACAAACUACCACGGUUUACGGGAUAUAACUCGGGAGGAACGAGCUCGACAAGAGGGAAACGGAAAAUGCGGGAAAAUGGAGAUGGUCAGAAAAGAAUAGUGUAUGUGAGAACAGGGAAACGUACUGGUUCAAGAGGUACGUACAUAGUAUGAUAAUAUAUCAUUAAUAUAAAAUGAAAAUUUAAAAUAUUAUUUAAAAAAUGGCAAUGAAUAUUAACAAAUAUUAUGAAUAGCAUAAUUAAAUAUUGAAAAAAAUUCUUAAUAUAAAAUAUAAAUUAUUAAAAUAUAGAUAGAUAAAUACAAUGAAUAAAAGUACAAAAUUAAAAUGAAAAUAUAAAAAUUAAGUUUCGAGAAUUUAUAAAGCGUAAUAAGAUUACUAUGCAUGAAAUCGAAAACCAAGGAAAGAAAAUGAGAAGAUGAGAUGGAUUAUAAUAUAGUGUUUCUUAUUUUAUGAGAAAAAAGCAAUUAUAAAAUAUGUAUCUUGAAAACAGAAGGAAGUAGUAAAAGAGCGAAAAAAUGGGAUAAACUUUUUACGAUGUAAACGAUAUUACCGUGAAAAACUAAGGUAGAACACAUGUGGAAAUAAAAAUAUUUAGCAACGUUGAAACAUACAGAGCAUAUGUGUCCCAAGUAUCGUGCUGGUAUCUUUUGAAUUUUCAAAAUAAACAAUGUUUUCAACAGAAGAGAUACUCGUUCAACACUCUUAAUAACCAAAUUGAAAACCACAAAAAUUUCUUGAAAAAUUUUUACUAAAAAUUUGGUUAGAAUCGAUGAACCUCAAAAAAUUCGUUUGACAAAAAAUAUAUGGAUAUACUCGCACAAAUUCACUAUUUUUAACGAGAAUAUAGAGAACUAGUAUAUAGAGAACAUUUAGGAAACCAUGAUUAUUAAACAUUCCAAUUAAAACGAAUCAAUAAGGUUAAUUGGUUCGCAUAAUUCUAGCUGAAUAUGGCGCGCUACGAAAUGCGUGCGGUAAGUUAUCGUGGAAUGCAAUUUAUAUUUAGGUAGGUAACUUUACUGGAACGGUGUAAUUCAUCUCCAUUGCAACUGUGAUAUCAGUGGUUGGCUUUUCGUUUGUCAUAUAAUAGUGGAAAGUGGAAAUCCAAGAAUUUAUGCCGCAGUUUAAUAUAUAUCUAUUUCAAUCGAUCAAGAUGGACAUGUUGAUUGCAUCUUGUUGGAAAUCCCACUUUCACUCUUAUCAAGCAACGUGUUCUAACUGGCUCUUCGAGUCUGGCCUGGAAUUGUUGAUCACCUUCGUCGGUCACUGGAAGUAAUAAGUAAAUACGUGCGGUAUUUCGUACACAAAGCGAAGGUAUUCCGCCUCCAGUACAAGUUUAAGGACUUUACGUGGCAAAUUCCUUACAUCUAGAGAUGUUUAACCACGAUAAUCAUUAAACCGAGCAUGAAAUUGCAUAAUUUUCUGUGUACAUUAUGAAAAUUACGAUUGGAAACGUGAUUAAAAAUUGGUGAAUAACUAAAAGUUUUUUUAAUAAAAACAAAGUUUUAAUAAAAAGAUCGGAUUUUAGUAAUUUAAAAAAAAAUAUAUAAUUUAAAAAAAAAAGUAUUUGUUAUGGAUUAAUGCGAGAAAUGACUAGAAAUUAAGAUUUGAUCGCUUAUUGAUCUGAUCAGAACUUAUUAUUCUACUUGUUUGACCAAACGAUUGGCAAUAUAAUCUACAAAAGGAUAAUCUACCAUUAGCCGAACUAAUGGCUGACCUAUACCUCUCGUCUGGCCCAGCAAAUGCUAUUUAUCUGACCAAAUGAUCGAUAUAUUAUCGGCCUGACCAAAGGUUGACCUAUACUACUUGAUUGACCAAAUGAUUGAAGAUGCAAUAUUGGUUAAUAUCCAACUCUGAUUUAAAAAUAUAAAACUAGCAAGGAAUGGUUGACUUGUUCUACUUAUUCGGUUAUGCAAUUAAGGAUAUGAAAUUGGUUUAGCAAAUAGUUGACCUGUACUACUUGCUUGAAAUAUGAAAUUCAAUAUAAAAUUAUACGAAAGAGAAUAUAUAUUGUAUGAUAUAUUAGCCGUUAUUGGGUAUGGAUUUAAAUCAAACUGAGAGCAGACAUUGACAUUUCAAAAGGAUAAUGAUUAUAAAAAUUGUGUCAUACAAAAUGAAAAGGGGAAAAAUGGCGAUUCGUCAAUACAGCGAUUGAAAUCCAAUUGUAACGGCCAUCAUCGAAUAAAAAUUUAGUAAAAAAAAGUUAUUUCGUUAUUGAAAAUAUCGAUGAAUUAUGCUGGAAUAUAAAAUAAAAGUUAAUAUCUAUUUUAUAAGUCUAAAAGAAUUGACGAAACGUGUGCUGAAAUGUUAAUUAAUAUUGAAGGUAAAAUAUAUAAAUUUUAAUUUAUGAGAGAAUUUAUUCUUGCAGAAAUAUAACAAAUAUGUCUCUAUUAUGAAUAGUAAUUUAUAUUAUUUAAUACACGUAAUUAUUAAAAUUUUGUUUAUUUAAUGUAAUUAAUUUGUUUCAUACAUAUGUUUGUAACAUAUGUUUAAUAUUAUUAUGCAAAGUAAUUGUUAUAAAAAUUAUGAAAAUUGUUAAAUAUUAUAAUAUUUGAUUAUUAUCUUGAAAGAAAAAGUAAUAGAAUAUAAUAAUAAAAAAUAAUAAAAAUACA